GGAGGCUACAACUCAGUGGUAAAGCACAUGCUUAGUAUGCAGGAGGUCCUGGGUUCAAUCCCCAGCACCUCCA
rnacentral:tRNA from 1 species